ACUCCUACGGGAGGCAGCAGUGGGGAAUCUUGGACAAUGGGCGCAAGCCUGAUCCAGCCAUGCCGCGUGAGUGAAGAAGGCCUUAGGGUUGUAAAACUCUUUCGCCGGUGAAGAUAAUGACGGUAACCGGAGAAGAAGCCCCGGCUAACUUCGUGCCAGCAGCCGCGGUAAUACGAAGGGGGCUAGCGUUGUUCGGAAUUACUGGGCGUAAAGCGCACGUAGGCGGGUUUGUAAGUAGGGGGUGAAAUCCCAGGGCUCAACCCUGGAACUGCCUUCUAAACUGCAAGCCUGGAGGUCAGGAGAGGCGAGUGGAAUACCGAGUGUAGAGGUGAAAUUCGUAGAUAUUCGGUGGAACACCAGUGGCGAAGGCGACUCGCUGGACUGAUACUGACGCUGAGGUGCGAAAGCNGUGGGGAGCAAACAGGAUUAGAUACCCUGGUAGUC
rnacentral:rRNA from 1 species